rnacentral:lncRNA from 1 species
UGGGCCACUGAAAAAUCCGCUUUAACCAAACGAGCAGAAGAUGCCGAGGCUGCACUUAAACCGCUGGUGGACGAACUGGCCAGCAUAAAGCGGCAUGUGCAUGCCAUGACCACUGCUAUAUCUUUGGUAAGCCGGUUUGAUUUCUGGGUCGAUUCGGCCGUCUUACAGAGCUGCCGGUUUGUUAACCCCUUUGUGAUAUUUCAGGGACACGCAUUGGCCAUUUGGGGUCAGAUGUGCGGAAGAAAUUGAAAGCCGCCUAUACUUUGAUCGAACAACUA